rnacentral:lncRNA from 1 species
AGAUCGUCCUCCUCUGAUCUGAAUAUUUCUGUUUAGUUUGACAGGUGCACGAUUAAGAAAAAAACCUCAUAAAAAAUAUCAAACCUUUGACCAUCGCAAGAAAAGGUCUGCAAGGGAUGGAACACACACUUUGGGAAAGUGUGGCGGAGCAGGACCACAGCAUUUUAAUAAUGGUCAUUUGUGCGAUUAUUCCGAAGCAUCGGCGGCGCGGAGGAAAGGGGAUUUCUCAUCGCCUCCUGCCCGCGCAUCUGCGGCAUUACUCAGUGUGAGCUAUUGCAGGAGAGCUCAUUGCUCUCAAAAAUCAAAGUUAAAUGGGUCAUCUAUCAUCUGAAUUUGUGUCUGGCUGACUUGUCUGAACAUCACAAUGAUUUAUGGCUUGAAUUGGAGAAGUCAACCAUGCAUGUUUCUUAGUUUAUCGUUUUAUGCUGCCUUCAAUUAAACCUCUAUAAACAGGAUGAUGGCUUUACAACGUUGUCCGGCAAUAAGGGCGAUGAAGGUUUUGCAUAAAUGUGUAGCUUUCAGCCUUCUAAUAAUCCGAUGACUUUUGUGGUUGGGUUGGGGA